rnacentral:rRNA from 1 species
CGUGUAGGCGGUUGGAAAAGUCAGGUGUGAAAUGUUUCAGCUCAACUGGGACACUGCGCCUGAAACUUUCUGACUGGAGUUCGGGAGGGGUUGUCGGAAUUCCUGGUGUAACGGUGAAAUGUGUAGAUAUCAGGAGGAACACCGGUGGCGAAGGCGGACAACUGGACCGAAACUGACGAUGAGACGCGAAAGCGUGGGGAGCAAACAGGAUUAGAUACCCUGGUAGUCC